ensembl:piRNA 21ur-5518 ncRNA
UCUGUAAAAACACUAGUUUUU